rnacentral:rRNA from 1 species
GGCCGCGGGAAUUCGAUUCAGGCCUAACACAUGCAAGUCGAGCGAACCCUUCGGGGUGAGCGGCGGACGGGUGAGUAACGCGUGGGUAACCUGCCCUAUACACACGGAUAACGUACCGAAAGGUACGCUAAUACGAGAUGAUAUAUUUUUAUCGCAUGGUAGAAAUAUCAAAGCUCCGGCGGUAUAGGAUGGACCCGCGUCUGAUUAGCUAGUUGGUAAGGUAAUGGCUUACCAAGGCGACGAUCAGUAGCCGACCUGAGAGGGUGAUCGGCCACAUUGGAACUGAGACACGGUCCAAACUCCUACGGGAGGCAGCAGUGGGGAAUAUUGCACAAUGGGCGAAAGCCUGAUGCAGCAACGCCGCGUGAGCGAAAGAGGCCUUCGGGUCGUAAAGCUCUGUCCUCAAGGAAGAUAAUGAC